rnacentral:rRNA from 1 species
UGGGGAAUUUUGGACAAUGGGGGCAACCCUGAUCCAGCAAUGCCGCGUGUGUGAAGAAGGCCUUCGGGUUGUAAAGCACUUUUGUCCGGAAAGAAAACGCCGUGGUUAAUACCCGUGGCGGAUGACGGUACCGGAAGAAUAAGCACCGGCUAACUACGUGCCAGCAGCCGCGGUAAUACGUAGGGUGCAAGCGUUAAUCGGAAUUACUGGGCGUAAAGCGUGCGCAGGCGGUCCGCUAAGACAGAUGUGAAAUCCCCGGGCUUAACCUGGGAACUGCAUUUGUGACUGGCGGGCUAGAGUAUGGCAGAGGGGGGUAGAAUUCCACGUGUAGCAGUGAAAUGCGUAGAGAUGUGGAGGAAUACCGAUGGCGAAGGCAGCCCCCUGGGCCAAUACUGACGCUCAUGCACGAAAGCGUGGGGAGCAAACAGGAUUAGAUACCCUGGUAGUCCACGCCCUAAACGAUGUCAACUAGUUGUCGGGUCUUCAUUGACUUGGUAACGUAGCUAACGCGUGAAGUUGACCGCCUGGGGAGUACGGUCGCAAGAUUAAAACUCAAAGGAAUUGACGGGGUC